CCCAGACGUGUUUAUUUCACUUAUUUUCCGUGUUGAGGUGAUGUGGCUUCAGACUGCUCACUGAAAAGAGUGAGGCCCCAGUUAUUAAUGCUGGCUGAGGGGAGAGCACACUGUAGCCCAAGAAUUUGGGAUGGCGUUUGGAAGUAGUUUCAGGCAUCCUUCAUGAUUUGGUGAUUUUUGGUUUUGUAAAGUUAUCUGAGGUUUCUGUGAGUGUACUUGUCAUCUGGAGUGAAACAGAAAAGCCAUAGCAGUUGGCUGCUGGAUGUGUCGCCAAAAGAAAAGAAAUUUGUAAGUAACUAUGUCUGAAAUCUGUUAAUUGGAGAGAAUAAAUGGAUGAAAUGAAGAAUACGUGAAGUUUUGCAGCCUGUCUUAUGCUAUGUAGAUGGUGGGUGUCCAGUGCAAUACUGCCCUAAACCAUAGCCUGGGUCUUCACAUGUGCUGGGAACUGCUGGCAAAGUGUACCAUAACAAAUGAGACCAUUCCAUGUUCCAUUAGAAGAUAACAGGACUGCCAGCUAUCACUGCUUUGUUGGUAAUAACAUCUUAGACAUGUUGUCUUUGUUUUCCAAGCUUCAGUAGAGUGCAAUGUGCUUGACUGCCAACAGCCAUACUGACAGACUUUGGCUGCGGCCUCUCAGCAUGGACCUCUGUCUCCAGUCAAACAGCUUGGAUUAUAAAUGUCCAGUGGAAAUUGUGAAACUCCAUUCCUGCGACAUCAAUUGAACACUGACAGUGGAGACAGAGGGGCUGGGAUCCUGCAGCUGAGCAUGCAAGAAGUGCAGCAUAGAGAAGUGUUCCAUUUCCCAUUAAGAAGGAGUCAAGAGAGGAAAUUUUUAAUACCAGAGUGUCAACUAUAAAGAGACUUUGAUUUGUGAUUAAAGAAACUGAUUGCUAUUGCAUCUGUUCCUGAGAGAAUGGGAAACAAAAAGGGAUAUAUUCUCUCUAAUUAGGAUUACAGCUAAACCUGGCUAUUUCCUACUUGUAGAGGUGAAAAACUUGACUAUUUGGGCCAGAAAGAAUGAUGGUAUUUGAGUAU
rnacentral:lncRNA from 1 species